AUCGCCUUCCUUUUCCUCACCAACACCGAUCUCUACUUCGCUCCUUUGUGGGAAAAGUUCUUUAAAUCGAAUAAGGAUCUCUACAAUAUCUAUGUCCAUGCCGAUCCCUCUGUGAACAUUACUCGCCCAGAGGGUGUUUUCAAGAACCAGUUCAUUCAACAUGCCAAACGUACCUACCGUGCAUCUCCCACUUUGGUCUCCGCCACGCGCCGCCUCUUUGCUAUUCUUGAUGAUCCCGCCAACGCUUACUUGGCUGUCAUCUCUCAGUACUGUAUCCCUCUCCAUUCAUUUAGCUAUGUCUACGAGUCUCUUAUCUCUUCUAAAUCUUUCGAUCUCACUUCUUCUGAGUCAGACUCUGAGUCCACUCAGUACGGAGUUCGAGUUCAAUAUAAGAGUUUCAUCGAGAUUAUCUCCAAAGAGCCUCGUUUGUGGAAACGUUACAUUGCUAGGGGGAGAUAUUCCUUGAUGCCAGAAGUGCCCUUUGAGAAAUUCAGAGUUGGGUCUCAGUUUUUCGUUAUAACGCGCCGGCACGCUCUCAUUCUGAUCAAGGAUCGGAGCCUAUGGAAGAAAUUUAAGCAGCCCUGUUA
rnacentral:misc_RNA from 1 species